rnacentral:rRNA from 1 species
GACGAACGCUGGCGGCGUGCUUAACACAUGCAAGUCGAACGGAAAGGCCCUGCUUUUGUGGGGUGCUCGAGUGGCGAACGGGUGAGUAACACGUGAGUAACCUGCCCUUGACUUUGGGAUAACUUCAGGAAACUGGGGCUAAUACCGGAUAGGAGCUCCUGCUGCAUGGUGGGGGUUGGAAAGUUUCGGCGGUUGGGGAUGGACUCGCGGCUUAUCAGCUUGUUGGUGGGGUAGUGGCUUACCAAGGCUUUGACGGGUAGCCGGCAUGAGAGGGUGACCGGCGACAUUGGGACUGAGAUACGGCCCGGAAUCCUACGGGAGGCAGCAGUGGGGAAUAUUGCACAAUGGGCGGAAGCCUGAUGCAGCAACGCCGCGUGCGGGAUGACGGCCUUCGGGUUGUAAACCGCUUUCGCCUGUGACGAAGCGUGAGUGACGGUAAUGGGUAAAGAAGCACCGGCUAACUACGUG